AAUACGUUCCCGGGCCUUGUACACACCGUCCGUCACACCACGAAAGUCGGUAACACCCGAAGCCGGUGGCCCAACCCUUUGGGAGGGAGCCGUCGAAGGUGGGAUCGGCGAUUGGGGUG
rnacentral:rRNA from 1 species